GGGCGCUUCGGCGCCUGAGUACAGCGGCGCACGGGUGCGUAACACGUGGGCAAUCUGUCCUUGAGAUGGGGAUAACCCAGCGAAAGUUGGGCUAAUACCGAAUAAGACUACAGGAGGCAACUCCGGUGGUUAAAGGGUGCUCUCUGCGGGGAGCAUGCGCUUGAGGAGGAGCCCGCGGCCUAUCAGCUAGUUGGUAGGGUCACGGCCUACCAAGGCGAAGACGGGUAGCUGGUCUGAGAGGAUGACCAGCCACACGGGGACUGAGACACGGCCCCGACUCCUACGGGAGGCAGCAGUGGGGAAUAUUGGGCAAUGGGGGAAACCCUGACCCAGCGACGCCGCGUGGGUGAUGAAGGCCUUCGGGUCGUAAAGCCCUGUCGGGCGGAACGAAUGCUUCUAGGGUAAAUAGCCCUGGGAGGUGACGGUACCGCCGAAGGAAGCACCGGCCAACUCCGUGCCAGCAGCCGCGGUAAGACGGAGGGUGCAAGCGUUGCUCGGAAUCACUGGGCGUAAAGGGUGCGUAGGCGGUCUCGCAAGUCUGGCGUGAAAGCCCAAGGCUCAGCCUUGGAAGUGCGCUCGAAACGGCGAGGCUGGAGUGCCGGAGGGGAGAGUGGAAUUCCCGGUGUAGCGGUGAAAUGCGUAGAGAUCGGGAGGAAUACCGGUGGCGAAAGCGACUCUCUGGACGGCAACUGACGCUGAGGCACGAAAGCGUGGGGAGCAAACAGGAUUAGAUACCCUGGUAGUCCACGCCGUAAACGAUGGACACUAGGUGUCGGGGGUAUCCACUCCCUCGGUG
rnacentral:rRNA from 1 species